rnacentral:misc_RNA from 1 species
GUAUGUGGUGUUUGUGGUGUUCCUGGCUUUGCAUGUUGGUGAUUUCGUCUUCAUGAUGGCUGGAGCUGGGAUCUUCCUGUUCAUGCUUGAUCGGUUCCUUAGAUUCUUCCAGUCACGAAAGACAGUUGACAUACUUUCGGCCACAUGCUUUCCUUGUGGAACCGUUGAACUCGUUAUUUCAAAACCUGCAAAUUUACAUUACAACGCUCUUGGCUGGAUAUUCUUACAAAUACGCGAGUUGUCCUGGCUGCAGUGGCACCCUUUCAGUGUCUCUUCUAGUCCCCUUGAUGGCA